rnacentral:rRNA from 1 species
GCAUGUCUAAGUACAAGCCGCUAGUCGGCGAAACCGCGAAUGGCUCAAUAAAUCAGUUAUGGUUCCUUAGAUCUUUCCAUCCUACUUGGAUAACUGUGGUAAUUCUAGAGCUAAUACAUGCACUACAAGCCCCGACUCGCCGGCGUCAAAACCGGCCGUAGAAGGGGUGCUUUUAUUAGAUCAAAACCAAUCGGGCCCUUCGCGGGGCCCGUUCCAUUUGGUGACUCUGAAUAACUUUCGCUGAUCGCACGGCCUUCGCGCCGGCGACGCAUCUUUCAAAUGUCUGCCUUAUCAACUUUCGAUGGUAGGUUAUGCGCCUACCAUGGUUGCAACGGGUAACGGGGAAUCGGGGUUCGAUUCCGGAGAGGGAGCCUGAGAAACGGCUACCACAUCCAAGGAAGGCAGCAGGCGCGCAAAUUACCCACUCCCGGCACGGGGAGGUAGUGACGAAAAAUAACGAUACGGGACUCUUCCGAGGCCCCGUGAUUGGAAUGAGUACACUUUAAAUCCUUUAACGAGGACCUAUUGGAGGGCAAGUCUGGUGCCAGCAGCCGCGGUAACUCCAGCUCCAAUAGCGUAUAUUAAAGUUGUUGCGGUUAAAAAGCUCGUAGUUGGAUUCCUGUCUUCGGCCGGGCGGUGCCGCCUGAUAAUCAAGGGCGAUCGCACUGCCUUGGGAGCGUUGGUGUCAAAGCCGCGCUUUUUUUUAACGGUCGGACAAUACCACCGGAGCGG